AGAAAACCAGACACCAUCCCUACAGUGAAGCAUGGUGGUGGCAGCAUCAUGCAGCAUCAUGGAUGUUUUCCAGUGGCAGGAACUGGGAGACUAGUCAGGAUUGAGGGAAAGAUGAAUGCAGCAAUGACAAUGACCCUAAGCACACAGCCAAAAUGUCAAAGCAGUG